GAUUUAUUACCAUUGCUCUGCAUGUCAAAUUGAAGAAAUUCAACCAAGCACGGGUAAACAGUAGGAGUAAUUAUGACUCUCUUAAGGUAGCGAGAUGCCUCAUCAUCUAAUUAGUGAUACACAUGAAUGGAU
rnacentral:ncRNA from 1 species